rnacentral:lncRNA from 1 species
AGGCUACGCGCGUCCCUGGAAGGGAAUACGGCAGCAGGCGGUGUUUCUCUGGUGCCCAUAAAACCAGAUCCACAUGGCAGCUUGAUCUGUGGGUGAUGGGGAUUUUGCUGAUGAUUUUAAAAAUCAGGGCUAGUUUACUCUUAUUGUUUUUUGGGUAUUUUAGAAUAUACUUUUGCAUGUGGUUUUAAACUGUUGUGUCUCUAGCAGGAAUUAGAUUGAGUGCCAUCAUUUCUCUGGAGGUCACUUAGCCCCCACUUAACCAGCCCUCUCUGCUGUCACUUUGCGCAUUCAUGGUGACUUUUGGCAUGAGUUCAUUCUUACUUUUCCCGUGGGGCCUGGCGUGGGGUGGGGUCUCCUUGCAGCAAGGUAACGUGGGAAUGCAUAUGGCACAGGUGAGGUGUCCAUCAGUAACCUGAGGAAGUGGAAAGCCACCCACAGAUUCUCAAGGUAGCCUGUGAAAUCUUCUGUUUGUCUUUAAGAAGCUGAAUCAGGACAGAAGCCAAGAGUCACCGACAUCAUUGUCCUGCUUUUCAGUAGGUUCCGAGUUAGCAGCUUGUGUACCUGCAUCUAAAUGAGCGUUGUUAGCGUAUAAUAAGUCCCAUUCAUUCUCAUGCUUGAACUGAUGGCGGGUGACCCUACCAGAUAGAUUAAGUGCUCCUUGGCAGGCUCUGCUUCCCAGAGAGUCCACGUGGCUUUCCGUUGAAAUCGUCCUGAAAGGGGCACCCGCCUUUAGAGCAGCCCUGUAUCGGGAGCGUCGUCACGUGAGUGUCCUUUGGUGUGUUUUCAGAGUUGCAGGGUGACUCUGGGAGGGCAGAGAAGAAGCACUUGUUGGGUGUGAGGCCGUGGACCGAGUGCUUUUUGCGUGUCCUCACACGUCCUCUGCGUCCACAGGUAAAGUAGGGUUUGAAUUCUCAGACCCCAUUACAGGCGCGGGCAGCGGCAGCCGUGCGUGAGCGGCCUCGCGCCUCUUGCUAGAAAGCGGCAGAGCUGAGCUGCUGACCCUGCCCAGGGCAGCUCACUGCUCCUGGAAGCGCGCCAGGGCUCCUGCGGUUCCACCCCUGGCCCCAGGGCUGAGCUUGGUUUCCUGGCUUUUCUCCUCUGGUUCUAGGGUGGUAGGACUGCCCGGGAGCUGGCCCGCCCCUCGGUCAUUCGGGAACCUCGGUGGUCAGGAAUCGGAUCGGGACGUGUUGUGAGGCUUGGUCCCAUCCUGCCCUUGGACGUGUUGUGACCUGAGGCCUGGAAACCUCGCAGACUGGAGGCUGUGGGGGGGCUGCCCUUUCUGCCGGCAGUGGGGCGGUUUGCGCUCUGUCGUUGGCGCGGUGGCUUUCAGUGCCCUCCUUCCAGCCCGUCGCUGUCCUUUCCUCCUGAGAUACCAGUGCUUCAGGUGCCCAGAUUUCUGCACACCCGCUGGCCGCUAGAGCCAACUCACGCAGGUAGACACGCAGAGGUUGCCUGUUUCUUGUUGUGGCCCAGUGGGUUAAGAACCUGACCUAGUGUCUGUGAAGAUGCAGGUUUGAUCCCUGGCCUUGCUUAGUGGGUUAAGGAUCUGGCCUUUCCAUGAGCUGUGGUGUAGGUUGCAGACGCGGCUCGGAUCUGGGGUUGCUGUAGCUGUGGUGUAGACCUUGACUGCAGCUCUGAUUCGACCCCUAGCCUGGGAACUUCCAUAUGC